rnacentral:tRNA from 1 species
AGUUCUAUACUUUAAAGAAAAGAUUUGAUUUGCAUUCAAACAUUGAAUUUCAUUCUAGAACUA